rnacentral:snoRNA from 1 species
CCACUGGAUGAUGAUGAACCAGUGGAAUACAUCCUCUGCUGGCCUUGACGAGGAAUAUGACUCUGUUGUCAACGCGGUUCUUGCACGAACCAAUUCGAUUACUGUAAGUGAACUUAUUUCGCAGAUGCUGUCGUUCGAGA